CCUCACUUUAUCUGAGGCACUACAAAGAAGAAUCAUGCGGCUUACACCUAUUCAAAUCUUUUUUCUGAUGUGUGGAUUUUGUUCCCGAUUUCACGCUAUCGCAUAUCCACCAGUUCAAACAGUCCAGACCCAAAAUGAAGUUGCGCCUGGAUCUGACGUGUCUUUGCGAUGUGAUGUCCCUCUCCUGAAUGAAUCCUCCACGUUGCUCUGGGAGAAAGAUGGAGAACAAAUAUCCAACAACACACUGAUCUACAACAACUCUGCCUUCAUCAUCUUACACACUGUUGAUGAACACAGUGAAGGGAAAUAUUACUGUAGAUUGAUGGAAGAUGGAAAAAUAGAAACUGUUAGGAUUCACACACUUAAUGUAGCUUCACGUAA